rnacentral:rRNA from 1 species
GAUGAACGCUGGCGGCGUGCCUAAUACAUGCCAUCCAACCAACAGAACAAGAGGUUUCUCCUCCUACGUUUGGCGCGGACCGGGGGGGAAAACGUUGAAAACCUACCUAUUAAACCGGGGAAAACUUCGGAAACCGGGAGUAAUUACGGGAAAAUAAUUGAAACGGAUUGAUUCAUUGGGAAAGACGGUUUUGCUUGUCCUUAUUAGAUGAUCCGCGCCGCAUUAGCUAGUUGGGAAGGUAACGGCUUACCAAGGCAACGAUGCGUAGCCGACCUGAGAGGGUGAUCGGCCACACUGGAACUGAGACACGGUCCAGACUCCUACGGGAGGCAGCAGUAGGGAAUCUUCCGCAAUGGGCGAAAGCCUGACGGAGCAACGCCGCGUGAGUGAUGAAGGUCUUCGGAUCGUAAAACUCUGUUAUUAGGGAAGAACAAAUGUGUAAGUAACUAUGCACGUCUUGACGGUACCUAAUCAGAAAGCCACGGCUAACUACGUG